UUUCAUCUUUGUGCUAAGGACCUUCUUUCCCCCCACCGUGACGAGGACAGAAGAGGGGAAGAGCGCAAAAGAAGGAGAAACGGAAGGAGGGAAGGAGCAAACGCGGUUUCUUUCUCAUACCUUACUUCCUCUGUGC
rnacentral:ribozyme from 1 species